GUCACCUUUCCAGCGAUACCCAUUUUAUUCCCGAAAUCCGGGGAUGCUAUUCUAAAUCCCAGCCAAAAAGAAUUGCAAAAAGUGGGUUAAACAUAGUGAAUUGCAAAAAGUGGGUUAAACAUAGUGAAAUGACGACGACCAUUGUUUUUACAAAUUUUGAUCUUUAAAUAGAAAUAUCUCGAAAACUAUGAGUCUGAGAAGGGUAUACAUUUUCUAGUUAUGAAGGCCUCCUCCAUCCAUCCCUACCAUCAAAUCGCGACGCCAAAAGAAUCGUAAUAUUGCCAAUUGUUUUUUAGCAUUCCAAGCACAGAUAAAAUAAAUUAAAUCGUGUCUCUACAAAAACAACACCAACAUCAAUAAUAACAAAGAAGUUGCGGGUAAAAUACAUAUGUAGGCGACGACGAAGAUGCGGACGAAAUAUUUGAAAAUUUUUCAUCGAGAUUGCUUUGCUUACUAAACACUCGUAGAAGUGCUCAUCUCGGAAUACCAAUGGCGACAUAAGAUCUUUGGUUUUUAGCUGAAUACACACAAAUAUUAAGCAGAAAAUGAUUUCAACGCUAUAGUUUAAAAGUUUGGUGAAUUCAAGUGACACCGAAAGUGAAAAGUGGCAUCUUAAUUAUCGUGAAAACUUAUCCCAUUACAAAAAUAAAAAAAAAACUGGUUUCCGGUGGUCAAAUCGAGUUGGGAAUUUUUCAGAAAAUGGAAGAGUUCAGACAUCAGAAAAAAGAAAAUAUUGUGCGAAAAAGCCACAUGAGUUCACAGAGGAAGAUAAAAGAAAGCUUAAAUUAUCUGCAAUGACAGAUGAAGAAAUCGAGAAAUUGAUGAACUCAACUCUUUCGUCUGAUGAAGAAUCUGAGUACGAAGACGAUGACAACAGCAUAGCUGACCCAGAGUAUGUUGUUGAUCAGAUAUCAACUGAGGAAGACCAAAUCAUAGACGACGUUUUAUGUGAAAUGAACAACAGCGUUGUAGGCAACGAAGUUGGGUUGUCGUUGAAUUUUAGCACACUUAGUGGUGUCUCAUCAGAAAUAGUAGAACCGUAUACAUCCAAACUAGUACAGAUACAGAGGCUGCAACCACUACCAAAACAAGCGAAUUAGCCACGGAGGAGGCCACAUUCGCUACAAGUAAUACCAUCAUUGACAAGACUUCGAUUGAGUUCUCCAAUAUCUUAUGGCGACAAAGAUCUAUGAAAAUGCAUGUGAAUGAAAUUGCGUUCCGUGGAGAUUCUGGGUUACAUUAUGCCGUCAGAAAGCUUAAGAACCCGAUUGAGUUUUUAAAUUAUUUUUUGACUGUUGAACUCAUAGCCGUAAUUGUUGAAAAAACCAACCGAGCAGCGCGGUCAAUAGACAUAAAUACAGAGUUCAUAACUAAUUAUUCACAGAUCCGAAAAUAUCUGGGUGUUUUGAUGUUUAUGUCUACUUUUCGCUAUCCAAAUAUAGAAGCGCACUAGAGUGAAUUUGGAUUUAGACAUAUACCAAAUGCUUUGCCUUGGAAGAAAUUUGUUGCAAUUAAAAAGCAUUUGUCUUUUUCGGAUAAGAGUAAGCGCAUCAAAAGAGGUGAGCCAGGGUACGAUCCAUUAUUUCGAAUAAGGAAAAUUAUUGAUUUUUUGAAUGAACACUUCGAUUCCGUUCCUAAACGAGCUCGUUUAUUUACUGAUGAACAGAUGUGUAAAACAAAGGCCUUGCACCAUUUACAGCAAUAUAUGCCAAACAAGCCCAAUAAAUGGGGUAUAAAGCUCUUGGUGUCGUGCGACAGCAAUGGAUAUGCAUACCAGUUUGAGGUAUAUAAUGGUGCUGGUAAUAACACUAUUUUACCAGACACACCAGAUCUUGGAGCCACCAGCAAUGUCGUCAUUCGGCUAUCGCAAACAAUUCCUGAUUUCGUGAAUCAUAUUCUAUACUUUAAUAAUUUUUACUCAUCACUGCCCCUAAUGGUUUAUUUACGAGCUCGUGGGAUAUAUGUAUUUGCUUUAGGUACCAUUCGAGCCAACAGAAUAUCAAACUGUAAGCUACCAUCCGAUUCAGAUACUGAGCUGAGAAAAGUGGAUAGAGGUUUCGCAGUUGAGUUUUCUGCUACUGCGUAUGAGUUGACUUGACUACGGUUCUCUGGAAGGUCACCAAAAAUGUUCGGCUAUGUUCAACUUAUGUAGGUGUCAAACCAUUUGCAAAAGCGAAUGCUGCUAUCCAGCCGUCGAAAAUUCAUAGAUAUAUGUAAUAGAAAAAAGAGAGAAUACAUUGAAAUAGAUUGCCCACAAAUCAUUCGUGAGUACAACUCUCACAUGGGUGGUGUAGAUCUCAUGGAUUCAUAUAUGGGCAGAAACGGCUUGCAUAUAAAAAACAUGGAUACAAUGACUCGCAUAUUCUAUCAUCUACUAGACAUUUCUGUUACCAAUGCUUUCAUUCUGUACCGUCGAACUAAAUCAUCGCUUGCAGAGGAAGAAAGAAAAGAAAAAGAUUUGACUCUAUACCAGUUUCGUUUACAAUUAGCAAAAUCGCUGUGUGCUUCCACCGACAAACCAACAGUUGGACGUCCAUCAAGCGGAUCGCAGUCAUUUCUUAGCAAUAGCACUAUUGGUGAACGAGCAGUGCACCCCGUAGAAGAAAUAAGGUAUGAUCAGCUCAACCAUCUUCCAGAUGGGGUUCAAAGAAGUCGUGUAAAUUUUGUAGGAAAUUUGAUGCACACACUUUUUGUACAAAAUGUAAGCAACAUUUAUGUUUUUCAAGUACUAAAAACUGUUUCAAAGACUAUAAUUUGAAUGAAUAAUUAAAAACAACACAAUUUAAUACUUUUACCGGCCUUUAUGAAUCAUUUUGUUGGAACAAAACUAGUUUCUUUCAUCGUUGGUCUAUAAAAUACGCGUUGUUUAUUUCUUACCCUUUGUCGGGCUUUUAUGGACCCGUUUACAGACGGUCUUUAAUUUUUUGCACCUGGCGUCCCAACCAAUGAAAAUCUUUGAAAAUGGCUUUCAAAUAUAAGUUCACCACACUAAAGUCAUCCUAAAACUAAAAUUACCAAAACAAGAACCCUUUUAUUUCUGUUUUCCCCGUCUAAGGUUUAAGAACUUUGAUGACAGCGUUUCAACAAAAUUAUUCGUGUUCGCCCGGACGAAUUUCGCCGCAUAUUUAACACAUAUUCUUGUAGAGCACAACUUCCUUUAGAUUUACAAUUAAAAAUUGCGCUAUUUAGGUUGGGAUCUUUCGAAGAUAGAUGUACGUGGGUGAUGAGGGCACUUUUCAAAAUAUAACUAAACGCGUAUUUAAAGCAAUAUUGACGUUCAAAGAGAAGUUUCUGUUUUGGCCAAAUGAAAAUGAACGGUUGGUGUUCUUCUUCUUUACUGACCUAGACACCGCUUACGUGAUUAUAGCCGACAGCGGUUUCUUCUUUUCGCUACGUGGGGCCAAUUGGAUAUUCCAAACGAAGCAAGAUCCAUCUCCACUUGGUCCUUCAAACGGAGUGAAGGUCAAAAGUAAGUGUAUCAUAUUACAACUCUCGAUAUAAUUUUACUUUAGAAACAGUUGUAAAAAACAUGGAUUCUUGGCGAAUAACAAUGCAUUGGUAGUACCAGAAUACGAUCCAAUACAUCCAUGUGUACAACAAUUUACACAAGGUCCCAAUUGUAAAGUUUGAUAUUUAGGGGUUUCAUAUAGUCUGUCUUUUAAUUCGCUGAAUUCUGUCAAUGUCGUCAUAUAUCUCA